GUUGAAGGUUAUGAGUUGAAGGUUGUUACAGGUUCUGUUAUAGAAGUUAUUGAAUUGGAGAAUUGGAGAGUGAAGCUUGAAGCGGCUACGAGUUCUUUUUAACUUUGAAUUGAGUUGAGUAUUCUGGAGGACUAUGAAGUUUCUUGUGAGAGUUCUGUUUUCUUUUCUCUACAUGAAGUUUUUCAAAUUCCCAACCCUCCUGUUAUGCUCUUCUUUGUUAUGUGGAUGUAGUUGAUUCCAUAAGGUUAUAUUGCUUAGUUCAAAAAUCAUGGUUCUUUGCUAUGGAAUCACAUUGGAGAUUGCUUGAACGUAUUGCUUAGAAUUGCUCGAGCCUUGGAAUGGAUUAGCUUGGGAUGCAAUAUUGGAGUUUGGCUCAUGUUUUAUUUUUUAUAACUUUAAGUGAAAUUGUAAUUUUGUUGUAAAAAUGAGUAUGAGGUUGAAUGUAAUAUGGUUUAUGGUUAUGGAAGUUGUAUGUUUAGAAAGGGUUUGUAACAUGAAUUUGUGGCUUAUGGAAAUGUAAUAAAAAGGUUGAAAUGGUUUAUGGAAA